rnacentral:ncRNA from 1 species
CCUCAUUAGUCGGGGUGCCGUUAAGUCGGCUGAGAAAUACCCGUGAACCUGAAACAGAUAAUGCUGGCGUAGGAAACUAAUUCUUUAUCAUU